AUGUCAGAGAAGUUUGAGAUGUCUACGAUGAGUGAACUCAAAUUCUUUCUCGGUUUGCAAAUCAAGCAAACUAAGGAAGGUACAUUUGUCUCUCAAACGAAGUACACCAAGGACUUAUUCAAGAAGUUCAAUAUGCAAGAAUGCAAAGGUAUGUCUACACCCAUGCCUACUAGUGGACAUAAUGAUUUAACCAAAGAUGGUGAACCGGUUGAUCAAAAGGUUUAUCGCUCUAUGAUUGGUUCAUUGUUAUACCUAUGUGCUUCACGUCCCGAUAUUAUGCUAAGUGUGUGCAUGUGUGCACGAUAUCAAGCUGCUCCUAAAGAAUGUCAUCUUAAGGCUGUGAAAAGGAUAGUGAGAUAUUUAAUCCAUACACCAAAUUUUGGCAUUUGGUAUCCUAAGAGGUCUUCUUUUGAUCUUGUUGGCUAUUCCGACUCGGAUUAUGCCGGAGAUAAGGUUGAUAGAAAGUCCACUUCGGGUACUUGUCAAUUUCUUGGUAGAUCUCUUGUGUCUUGGUCUUCCAAGAAACAAAACUCGGUAUCCUUAUCCACCGCCGAAGCGGAAUACAUUGCCGCUGGUUCAUGUUGUGCUCAAUUACUUUGGAUGACCCAAACUCUUAAAGAUUAUGGGAUCUAUGUGAAACAUGUUCCACUACUUUGUGACAAUGAAAGUGCUAUCAAAAUUGGUCAUAAUCUUGUACAACAAUCUCAAACUAAGCAUAUUGAAGUUCGUCAUCAUUUCAUUCGAGAUCAUGUUGCUAAGGGUGACAUUAAUCUUAAGCAUGUUCGCACCGAUAAGCAAUCAGCGGAUAUAUUUACUAAACCUCUUGAUGAGAAAGUGUUUUGCAGGUUGAGAGGAGAAUUGAACAUCAUUGAUGCUUCGAACUUGGAGUAG
rnacentral:rRNA from 1 species